rnacentral:snoRNA from 1 species
UUGAGAUGACGAGCCACAGCACUGGGCACUGACUAGGAUGAGUGACAAUGCUUUCAAGUGGGCCUAGAAAACCCACGCUACUGAUCUU